GCAACUCGACUGCACGAAGCUGGAAUCGCUAGUAAUCGCGGAUCAGCACGCCGCGGUGAAUACGUUCCCGGGCCUUGUACACACCGCCCGUCACACCAUGGAAGUCUGCAAUGCCCGAAGCCGGUGGCCUAACCACUUAUGUGGAAGGAGCCGUCUAAGGCAGGGCAGAUGACUGGGGUGAAGUCGUAACAAGGUAAC
rnacentral:rRNA from 1 species